UACGUAGGGUGCAAGCGUUAUCCGGAAUUAUUGGGCGUAAAGAGCUCGUAGGCGGUUUGUCACGUCUGCUGUGAAAACUGGAGGCUCAACCUCCAGCCUGCAGUGGGUACGGGCAGACUAGAGUCCGGAAGAGGAGAGUGGAAUUCCCGGUGUAGCGGUGAAAUGCGCAGAUAUCGGGAAGAACACCCGUGGCGAAGGCGGCUCUCUGGGACGGUACUGACGCUGAGACGCGAAAGCGUGGGGAGCGAACAGG
rnacentral:rRNA from 1 species